GACGAACGCUGGCGGCGUGCUUAACACAUGCAAGUCGAACGGAAACGCCCUGCUUUUGUGGGGUGCUCGAGUGGCGAACGGGUGAGUAACACGUGAGUAACCUGCCCUUGACUUUGGGAUAACUUCAGGAAACUGGGGCUAAUACCGGAUAGGAGCUCCUGCUGCAUGGUGGGGGUUGGAAAGUUUCGGCGGUUGGGGAUGGACUCGCGGCUUAUCAGCUUGUUGGUGGGGUAGUGGCUUACCAAGGCUUUGACGGGUAGCCGGCCUGAGAGGGUGACCGGCCACAUUGGGACUGAGAGACGGCCCAGACUCCUACGGGAGGCAGCAGUGGGGAAUAUUGCACAAUGGGCGGAAGCCUGAUGCAGCAACGCCGCGGGCGGGAUGACGGCCUUCGGGUUGUAAACCGCUUUCGCCUGUGACGAAGCGUGAGUGACGGUAAUGGGUAAAGAAGCACCGGCUAACUACGUG
rnacentral:rRNA from 1 species